rnacentral:rRNA from 1 species
UACGGGGGGGGCAAGCGUUUGUUCGGAAUUACUGGGCGUAAAGGCUCGUAGGUGGCCAACUAAGUCAGACGUGAAAUCCCUCCGGCUUAACCGGGGAACUGCGUCUGAUACUGGAUGGCUUGAGUAUGGGAGAGGGAUGUAGAAUUCCAGGUGUAGCGGUGAAAUGCGUAGAUAUCUGGAGGAAUACCGGUGGCGAAGGCGCAUCCUGGGACCAUAACCUGACGCUGAGGCGCGAAAGCUAAGGGGAGCAAACGGGGG